rnacentral:rRNA from 1 species
CGUACACAAAAAUGCACAUAUUGUGAGCUCGAUGAGUAGGGCGGGACACGUGGUAUCCUGUCUGAAUAUGGGGGGACCAUCCUCCAAGGCUAAAUACUCCUGACUGACCGAUAGUGAACCAGUACCGUGAGGGAAAGGCGAAAAGAACCCCGGCGAGGGGAGUGAAAAAGAACCUGAAACCGUGUACGUACAAGCAGUGGGAGCCUCUUUUAUGGGGUGACUGCGUACCUUUUGUAUAAUGGGUCAGCGACUUAUAUUCUGUAGCAAGGUUAACCGAAUAGGGGAGCCGAAGGGAAACCGAGUCUUAACUGGGCGUUAAGUUGCAGGGUAUAGACCCGAAACCCGGUGAUCUAGCCAUGGGCAGGUUGAAGGUUGGGUAACACUAACUGGAGGACCGAACCGACUAAUGUUGAAAAAUUAGCGGAUGACUUGUGGCUGGGGGUGAAAGGCCAAUCAAACCGGGAGAUAGCUGGUUCUCCCCGAAAGCUAUUUAGGUAGCGCCUCGUGAAUUCAUCUCCGGGGGUAGAGCACUGUUUCGGCAAGGGGGUCAUCCCGACUUACCAACCCGAUGCAAACUGCGAAUACCGGAGAAUGUUAUCACGGGAGACACACGGCGGGUGCUAACGUCCGUCGUGAAGAGGGAAACAACCCAGACCGCCAGCUAAGGUCCCAAAGUCAUGGUUAAGUGGGAAACGAUGUGGGAAGGCCCAGACAGCCAGGAUGUUGGCUUAGAAGCAGCCAUCAUUUAAAGAAAGCGUAAUAGCUCACUGGUCGAGUCGGCCUGCGCGGAAGAUGUAACGGGGCUAAACCAUGCACCGAAGCUGCGGCAGCGACACUAUGUGUUGUUGGGUAGGGGAGCGUUCUGUAAGCCUGUGAAGGUGGCCUGUGAGGGUUGCUGGAGGUAUCAGAAGUGCGAAUGCUGACAUAAGUAACGAUAAAGCGGGUGAAAAGCCCGCUCGCCGGAAGACCAAGGGUUCCUGUCCAACGUUAAUCGGGGCAGGGUGAGUCGACCCCUAAGGCGAGGCCGAAAGGCGUAGUCGAUGGGAAACAGGUUAAUAUUCCUGUACUUGGUGUUACUGCGAAGGGGGGACGGAGAAGGCUAUGUUGGCCGGGCGACGGUUGUCCCGGUUUAAGCGUGUAGGCUGGUUUUCCAGGCAAAUCCGGAAAACCAAGGCUGAGGCGUGAUGACGAGGCACUACGGUGCUGAAGUGACAAAUGCCCUGCUUCCAGGAAAAGCCUCUAAGCAUCAGGUAACAUCAAAUCGUACCCCAAACCGACACAGGUGGUCAGGUAGAGAAUACCAAGGCGCUUGAGAGAACUCGGGUGAAGGAACUAGGCAAAAUGGUGCCGUAACUUCGGGAGAAGGCACGCUGAUAUGUAGGUGAAGCGACUUGCUCGUGGAGCUGAAAUCAGUCGAAGAUACCAGCUGGCUGCAACUGUUUAUUAAAAACACAGCACUGUGCAAACACGAAAGUGGACGUAUACGGUGUGACGCCUGCCCGGUGCCGGAAGGUUAAUUGAUGGGGUUAGCGGUAACGCGAAGCUCUUGAUCGAAGCCCCGGUAAACGGCGGCCGUAACUAUAACGGUCCUAAGGUAGCGAAAUUCCUUGUCGGGUAAGUUCCGACCUGCACGAAUGGCGUAAUGAUGGCCAGGCUGUCUCCACCCGAGACUCAGUGAAAUUGAACUCGCUGUGAAGAUGCAGUGUACCCGCGGCAAGACGGAAAGACCCCGUGAACCUUUACUAUAGCUUGACACUGAACAUUGAGCCUUGAUGUGUAGGAUAGGUGGGAGGCUUUGAAGUGUGGACGCCAGUCUGCAUGGAGCCGACCUUGAAAUACCACCCUUUAAUGUUUGAUGUUCUAACGUUGGCCCGUAAUCCGGGUUGCGGACAGUGUCUGGUGGGUAGUUUGACUGGGGCGGUCUCCUCCUAAAGAGUAACGGAGGAGCACGAAGGUUGGCUAAUCCUGGUCGGACAUCAGGAGGUUAGUGCAAUGGCAUAAGCCAGCUUGACUGCGAGCGUGACGGCGCGAGCAGGUGCGAAAGCAGGUCAUAGUGAUCCGGUGGUUCUGAAUGGAAGGGCCAUCGCUCAACGGAUAAAAGGUACUCCGGGGAUAACAGGCUGAUACCGCCCAAGAGUUCAUAUCGACGGCGGUGUUUGGCACCUCGAUGUCGGCUCAUCACAUCCUGGGGCUGAAGUAGGUCCCAAGGGUAUGGCUGUUCGCCAUUUAAAGUGGUACGCGAGCUGGGUUUAGAACGUCGUGAGACAGUUCGGUCCCUAUCUGCCGUGGGCGCUGGAGAACUGAGGGGGGCUGCUCCUAGUACGAGAGGACCGGAGUGGACGCAUCACUGGUGUUCGGGUUGUCAUGCCAAUGGCACUGCCCGGUAGCUAAAUGCGGAAGAGAUAAGUGCUGAAAGCAUCUAAGCACGAAACUUGCCCCGAGAUGAGUUCUCCCUGACUCCUUGAGAGUCCUGAAGGAACGUUGAAGACGACGACGUUGAUAGGCCGGGUGUGUAAGCGCAGCGAUGCGUUGAGCUAACCGGUACUAAUGAACCGUGAGGCUUAACCUUACAACGCCGAAG